CUAUUUUCCUUCAUCUCACCGCUAAGAGGGGCGCGAGAAUGCUCCUCCGCGCGAGCCCGGGGCUCUGGCGUUACCUAGCAACGGCUCCCAUACUGUACUCCCGCUCCAAGUGCCUGGCUGCCUUCAACUCUGGCGCUGUUUCUAUUUCUGUUGUAGCGUUGCAGUCGCCGUCUGGUAAAACAUUCAUAGCACAGUCCUCUUAGCAUGUGGCUCGUGCGGUAAUGUUUCAGUUUGAAGCACUACCCUACCCAACGCGCCGCAGAGUGAUACUGACAAAUGGCGCGUCAAAUGAUGGGUGACAGACCAGUUAAUCAUGGGCUGCCGUCUCCAGGGACGCGCUGAUUGAGUCUGAUGUAAUGGAUGUUAUUAUGGCCAGUGACAUGACAACUGCGACCUCGUGAACGGACGUCUUUCCCACACAACCAUUGUUAAAGCAGGUGCCGAAAAAACGUGAUAACGGCUGUUUCUCUCAAGCUUUUGGUAAGGGGAACAAGCAGAGCUGAAGAGGGAGGGAGAGGAUCGAGAGAAAUGGCAGUUGCAUAAACUGUCACAGUGAUGAGUUCUUAUCAUUAUGGCUCCAGACACGCAAGGGCUGCCGUUAGGCCGUGACAAGGUUUAACGCCCCCAUGAUUCCACAUGAACAGCUUCUACAAGCGCAAUCGUGUAACAAUUAAGUGUUAAAUUGAAUGGAUGAUCUGCCACAAACUGUCUGAAGUGCAUCACGCGGAUACAACAAGCUGUUUGGGAGGCAGAUGACCAUCCAUUCGUCCUCCGAUUCCAACUCCACCCACUCCGACCCCUCCAGCCAACCUUUGCAAUUUCGGCGGCAGAUCUGUCACCGAUUGGCUGAUGUGUUCUGCCCCGCCCACCAAGCCCAGCU